rnacentral:misc_RNA from 1 species
GAUGAAGAACGCAGCGAAAUGCGAUAAGUAAUGUGAAUUGCAGAAUUCAGUGAAUCAUCGAAUCUUAGAACGCACAUUGCGCCCGCCAGUAUUCUGGCGGGCAUGCCUGUUCGAGCGUCAUUACAACCCUCAGGCCCCCGGGCCUGGCGUUGGGGAUCGGCGGAAGCCCCCUGUGGGCACACGCCGUCCCUCAAAUACAGUGGCGGUCCCGCCGCAGCUUCCAUUGCGUAGUAGCUAACACCUCGCAACUGGAGAGCGGCGCGGCCAUGCCGUAAAACACCCAACUUCUGAAUGUUGACCUCGAAUCAGGUAGGAAUACCCGCUGAACUUAAGCAUAUCAAUAAGCGGAGGA